rnacentral:rRNA from 2 species
GCUAUANUGCAGUCGACGAACUCUGGUAUUGAUUGGUGCUUGCAUCAUGAUUUACAUUUGAGUGAGUGGCGAACUGGUGAGUAACACGUGGGAAACCUGCCCAGAAGCGGGGGAUAACACCUGGAAACAGAUGCUAAUACCGCAUAACAACUUGGACCGCAUGGUCCGAGUUUGAAAGAUGGCUUCGGCUAUCACUUUUGGAUGGUCCCGCGGCGUAUUAGCUAGAUGGUGAGGUAACGGCUCACCAUGGCAAUGAUACGUAGCCGACCUGAGAGGGUAAUCGGCCACAUUGGGACUGAGACACGGCCCAAACUCCUACGGGAGGCAGCAGUAGGGAAUCUUCCACAAUGGACGAAAGUCUGAUGGAGCAACGCCGCGUGAGUGAAGAAGGGUUUCGGCUCGUAAAACUCUGUUGUUAAAGAAGAACAUAUCUGAGAGUAACUGUUCAGGUAUUGACGGUAUUUAACCAGAAAGCCACGGCUAACUACGUGCCAGCAGCCGCGGUAAUACGUAGGUGGCAAGCGUUGUCCGGAUUUAUUGGGCGUAAAGCGAGCGCAGGCGGUUUUUUAAGUCUGAUGUGAAAGCCUUCGGCUCAACCGAAGAAGUGCAUCGGAAACUGGGAAACUUGAGUGCAGAAGAGGACAGUGGAACUCCAUGUGUAGCGGUGAAAUGCGUAGAUAUAUGGAAGAACACCAGUGGCGAAGGCGGCUGUCUGGUCUGUAACUGACGCUGAGGCUCGAAAGUAUGGGUAGCAAACAGGAUUAGAUACCCUGGUAGUCCAUACCGUAAACGAUGAAUGCUAAGUGUUGGAGGGUUUCCGCCCUUCAGUGCUGCAGCUAACGCAUUAAGCAUUCCGCCUGGGGAGUACGGCCGCAAGGCUGAAACUCAAAGGAAUUGACGGGGGCCCGCACAAGCGGUGGAGCAUGUGGUUUAAUUCGAAGCUACGCGAAGAACCUUACCAGGUCUUGACAUACUAUGCAAAUCUAAGAGAUUAGACGUUCCCUUCGGGGA